CCCUUAGAUGUCCUGGGCCGCACGCGCGCUACACUGACAUGUUCAACAAGCCUCCUAGUUCGACAGGAUUUGGGAAAUCUUUGAACGCAUGUCGUGAUAGGGAUAGAUCAUUGCAAUUAUUGAUCUUGAACGAGGAAUUCCUAGUAAACGCGAGUCAUCAGCUCGCAUUGAUUACGUCCCUGCCCUUUGUACACACCGCCCGUCGCACCUACCGAUUGAAUGUUUCGGUGAAGAUUCCGGAUAGGACUUUUUUGAUUUAUUUCAAUUUUGUCUUAAAAGCUAUCUAAACCUCAACAUUUAGAGGAAGGUGAANUCGUANCA
rnacentral:rRNA from 1 species